GGGUGGGACAGAGCAGGCAGCAGUCAUCAUGGAGUUCCCUGCAGCCUCUUCCAGCAGAGGACUUGUCCCCUGGCUGGGACUCCUAAUGGCUGUCUUCCUCUUAACCUUGUGGAUUCCGCCCACCACUGCACGAUUUGAGAUUGUCAAGACCAGUGCUCUUGAAGGGCAGGAUGUGAUUCUACGUACCCAAAAUAUGCCUCCCAAUGUUACAGGCUUUUUUUGGUACAGGGGAUUCAUGGGCCAGUGAAUGUGCCCACACUCCUAGCCAGCAACACCACAGUCACAGAGAAUGAGGAUGCUGUGGUCAUGACCUGCUACACAGAUGAGAUCUUCAUUAACUGGUUAUUCAAUGCUACGAGUCUGCAGCUCAAGGAGAGGAUGAAGCUGUCUGAGGACAACACAACCCUCACCAUAGACCCUGUCAGGAGAGAGGAUGCUGGGAACUACCAGUGUAAAGUCUCCAACCCCGUCAGCUCCACUGAAAGUGCGCCUGUAGAGUUAGAUGUCAAGUAUUAGUGA